rnacentral:lncRNA from 1 species
AAAUGUUAAUAGUUUCACUAUAUUUCUAUAAUCAUAUUUUUUCCUAAAGUCCUUUAAAAGUAGAUAAUUCAUGAUUCUUUUUUGUCGUGCUAUAAUUGAAAUCUGGCAUACUUUAAUACUUUAUAAGUUUAUAUUAUGUAUUUCAUUUAAGUAGUUUUAAUUUUUUAUAUAUUUUUAAUACAAAUCAGGUUGGAUUAGUGAACCAAAUCUUUGGUUAAAUCGAUCUCCAUGUAAAUUUUUUUAAUAAUCUCAUUUUAGGCUAUUACUUAGUUACGGUGCAUCGCUUGCAAUAUUGAUAGUGGCUUCCAUACUGAAAAUUAUUUUUUUCUAAUUGUCAAAAUGACUUGAGUCAUGUAACUUGUUCAUUAUAGAUUGGGUCAAAUCAAGUUGAAAAUAACAUAUUUAACCUAUCAAAAAAUUCCAGGUAAAAACAUAAUACAUAAUCAAUUUCAUUAAAUUUAUGCCCCCUCUUUAUCAAUAAAUUAUUUGUAAUACACCUUUAAUUAAUUAAUAAUCACUAACGUGUAUAAAACUAUUACAACAUAUAUUAAAAUUCCCAAGCCAAACCCGAUUGGCACUACUGCAAGUAUUUACCUAACUUGACUGGUCAUGUAACCUGUCUAGAGCCAAAUGAAGUUGACAAUAGCAUAUUUAACCCAUUCAAAAAUGUUAAGUACAAAUAGAACAUAUAAUAGUCUAUAUAUGUAGUUGCAAUCUUAUUACUCCUAACAUUUAUUAGGUAUAUGUAAUAUCUAUUUCUAAAAAAAUUCAAAUGCAUAGUUAGUGAUGUAAUAUUAUUGUCACAAAAAAUACAAUCAAUUUGCAACGAUACUAACUUGUCACAAAAAUAAACUAUAAAUAAUUAGCAAUGAAAACUAUUAGUUAUACAAUGAUGUAUAGGUGGCAAAAUUUAUUUCAUCAACAAAUAGUCAGUAUUAUGCAACAAAACUAUAAAUAUUGCCAAAUAAGUUCUAUUUAUUCAGAAAUUAUUGUCCUUACAAGGUACCGCCCUUAGCAACAUCCAUAAAUAACCUUUACAAUGUUAUAGACCUUUUGCGAUAAUUUUUAAAACUGUUACUAUAGAAUAUAAUUUCUUGUAGUGGUUAUAAAGUGCCAUUGCUA